rnacentral:misc_RNA from 1 species
CCGAGUUUACAACUCCCAAACCCCUGUGAACAUACCUACUUGUUGCCUCGGCGGAUCAGCCCGCGCCCCGUAAAACGGGACGGCCCGCCAGCAGGAGCCCCUAAACUCUGUUUCUAUAGUGGAACUUCUGAGUAAAAACAUAAAUAAUCA